rnacentral:tRNA from 2 species
UUUAUUAUGGCAGAAUAGUGCAAUGAGUUUAAGCCUCAUAUAUGAAACCUUAUUUCUUUUAAAA